rnacentral:rRNA from 1 species
AUUGAACGCUGGCGGCAAGCCUAACACAUGCAAGUCGAACGAGUGGCGGACGGGUGAGUAAUGUCUGGGAAACUGCCUGAUGGAGGGGGGUAACUACUGGAAACGGUAGCUAAUACCGCAUACCAUCGGAUGUGCCCAGAUGGGAUUAGCUAGUUGGUGGGGUAACGGCUCACAUAGGCGACGAUCCCUAGCUGGUCUGAGAGGAUGACCAGCCAUACGGGAAAUGAGACACGGUCCAGACUCCUACGGUAGGCAGCAGUGGGGAAUAUUGAACAAUGGGCGAAAGCCUGAUGCAGCAAUGCCGCGUGUAUGAAGAAGGCCUUCGGGUUGUAAAGUACUUUCAGCGGGGAGGCGUUACCCGCAGAAGAAGCACCGGCUAACUCCGUGCCAGCAGCCGCGGUAAUUC